CGAACGGCAGCACGGAGCUUGCUCUGGUGGCGAGUGGCGAACGGGUGAGUAAUAUAUCGGAACGUACCCUAGAGUGGGGGAUAACGUAGCGAAAGUUACGCUAAUACCGCAUACGAUCUAAGGAUGAAAGUGGGGGAUCGCAAGACCUCAUGCUCGUGGAGCGGCCGAUAUCUGAUUAGCUAGUUGGUAGGGUAAAAGCCUACCAAGGCAUCGAUCAGUAGCUGGUCUGAGAGGACGACCAGCCACACUGGAACUGAGACACGGUCCAGACUCCUACGGGAGGCAGCAGUGGGGAAUUUUGGACAAUGGGCGAAAGCCUGAUCCAGCAAUGCCGCGUGAGUGAAGAAGGCCUUCGGGUUGUAAAGCUCUUUUGUCAGGGAAGAAACGGUGAGAGCUAAUAUCUCUUGCUAAUGACGGUACCUGAAGAAUAAGCACCGGCUAACUACGUGCCAGCAGCCGCGGUAAUACGUAGGGUGCAAGCGUUAAUCGGAAUUACUGGGCGUAAAGCGUGCGCAGGCGGUUUUGUAAGUCUGAUGUGAAAUCCCCGGGCUCAACCUGGGAAUUGCAUUGGAGACUGCAAGGCUAGAAUCUGGCAGAGGGGGGUAGAAUUCCACGUGUAGCAGUGAAAUGCGUAGAUAUGUGGAGGAACACCGAUGGCGAAGGCAGCCCCCUGGGUCAAGAUUGACGCUCAUGCACGAAAGCGUGAGAGCAAACAGGAUUAGAUACCCUGGUAGUCCACGCCCUAAACGAUGUCUACUAGUUGUCGGGUCUUAAUUGACUUGGUAACGCAGCUAACGCGUGAAGUAGACCGCCUGGGGAGUACGGUCGCAAGAUUAAAACUCAAAGGAAUUGACGGGGACCCGCACAAGCGGGGAUGAUGUGGGAUUAAUUCGAUGCAACGCGAAAAAACCUUACCUACCCUUGACAUGG
rnacentral:rRNA from 1 species